AGUUAAGGUCACAGGUAUUAGAAGAAAGAUUAGGUCGUGAUUGUAAAUGAUGAUGCUAACAUUCUGAUGGAUUUUAUGUUCUGUUCCAUUUUAAGGUUUUGCAUGUUACCAUCACACCUGAUAUUUUUCCCCAAAUGAAGAAUCACUGUUUCUCUGUCUUCCGUGCAGAAAUUUCUGCUGGAAUGAAGAAAGAAAAGUUUGCAUAAGAGCUUGUCACAAAGACAAAUGAGUUUAAGAGGUGUUUGAAAUGUGUCCAUGCAUUUCCUGCAUAAUUGGAUCCUACCUCAUUAAGGGAAAAUUUUCUUGGAAAGAUGUGAUGCCAGUUCAAAUGUCGUUCCUCAGUGCCACAAAAUAAUGUGGCUGCUCCACAAGAAUAGAGAUCCUGCAGAGCAAGCAGUGUCAGGACUGUUUUGAGAGUGAGAGGUGAGCGUGGGAAGGGAGGGGAUGGAGAGCAAGGGACAGGGACGUGGCUGCAGCCAGUGCUGCAGGUAUUA
rnacentral:lncRNA from 1 species